rnacentral:lncRNA from 1 species
GUAAAUGAUUGUUUAAUUGAAACAUUUUAAUAUAGGAGGCAUAAACGAGUAAUAAGGUUCAAAGUAGCUAUUUUCUGGUUACUGAAGUGACACUGACUGUGCCUGUCUCACACUGGUAUUAACUUCAUAUUGUGUUGGCAGAGAAAAGCUUUAACUGAUGUUAGUAUUACUGAAAUGGCCAGCAUGGUAUGGUAUUAGUAUGUCUCAGAAGCCAAAAAAAUAACGUGGCACAGAAACAACUUGUCCCAAGCUUCAAGGGGGGCAUGGGCUUUGGAGACCUGUAUUCUGUAUUAAAGGCUUCUAUGAAUAAACUUUCUGAGAGUCUUGAGGUUCCUGAAGGUUUUGUCCUUGUCUUGCUCCUCCUCUCCGUCUUUUUGACCCACUCAUCUACUUUAUAAUUUCCACAUCCACAAGACUCUCUAGCCUUAGUCUCUCCUAACACAGUCAAGUUCUUAUGUUGGGUAGGCAUUUCCAAUAGAAUACUCCAGAGAUAUCUUAAAAUAAACUUGCCAAAACAUAAACUAAUCACCAUUUCCUGACACCCGGCCAUUCUUUUUUUUUUUUUUUUUUGUCAAGACAAGGUCUUGCUCUAUUGUCCUUCAACCUCCUGAUGGGCUCAAGGAUUCCUAGCAGCUCAGCCUCCAGAGUAGCAGGGACCACUGGCUCACACCUCCAUGCCCAGCUAUUGGUCUCAAACUCCUGGCCUUAAAAGGUCCUCCCGCUUAGGCUUUCCCAAACUGCUGGAAUCACAGGUUUGAGCCACCACAAUGGGACCAUUCUCCAUCUUAUAGCCUCUAUUUCUGUUGGUUGCGUCAAUAUCACCUAAGCCCUCAAGUAGAAAGCUUACAAAUCUCAAUUCUUCUUUCUUCAUAGUCUACAUCUCCAACUUACUACUAGCACCUCUAGCUAUGCCAGCUUUAUAGACAGGCAACCUGUGCAGUCACACAGAGUCCCUUGCUUGGAAGGGUCCAGUGCUUCUCUGUGCUCUCAGUUGUUCUCUGCUCUGCAGUCAUCAUGAAUCACUUCUUAACAAGAAGCUCUGCAUUUUCUUGCACGAGGCCCUGCAAAUUACAGAGCCAGUCCCGUCUCCCAUGUCCUUCAUCCUCUGUAAAAUAUGUGUUAGCCUCUAAUCAUGCCAUUAAAUUUCUCACUUCCCUAUCUUUGUGUUCAUUUUCCCUCUGCUGAGAAUGUUCCAUUUGCUGAUCAAAUCCUCAAAUACACAUUUAGCUGACUUUGUAAUUUAUAAAUUUAAUAACUUAAUAAAGUUUGUCUCCCUCACUAGAGCAAAAACUUUAAGUUAGGAAUUAUGUCUACUUGGCUUGCUAUUCUAUCACUAGUAUACCUAGCAGAUAGUAGGUGUCAAAAAACAUUUUGUCAAAUUAAUGUGCAUAGCAGUAUUAGGUAAACACACGGCAUAGAAAUUUUAAAAAACUCAAAAAUGUACAUAUCCUGAUGUCAAAAUAUUAUUCUCUCUACCCUCUUCAAUAUAAUGGUUUAUGUUGGUUAUACUGAUUCAUGGUACUUCAUAUUGCAUUGAAUGAAACUGCAACUAUUUUAGGUAUUUCUGAAGAUUUCUAAAAAUUAUUAGGUAGUGUCUUUGUUUAGAUUGUAUGUCUCAGUUUUUCCCUGAAGACGCUAUUGAGCAGAUGAGAAUUUAAGGGAACUAAUGCCAAAGGUACCAAACAAAACUUUAUGAAGAGUAAAUACUACUUUCCUCAUAUAUACAUUAACACAAAUUAAAAAGUUUUAUAACUAUGCAACUGGGAUCCAUAAAAAUAUUUUCCUAUAUCAAACUGGGCUUCAAACAUUAUUUUUAAGUAUAUACCCUCAAGACAGCCACUUGAGCAUACAAUAACUCUUGCAUCAUCACGAAGCAAAACCAAAAGACAAUACCACUCUAGCAGUCUAUAUAGAAUUAUGAAGAUCUUAUUAACUAUUUUUAGCUUCUGUUCUUUUCAUAAUGGCCUUUGGAACAUUGAUUCUUCCACAUUCUAACUGCCUAAGCGUCAGUUUCCUCAUCUAUAAAAUGGUAUAGUAAUGGUACCCACAUCAUAGUGUAAUUAAAAAGAUUAAAUGAAAUGAUCUAUGUGAAACACUUAGCAUAAUGUUUGCCAACUUGUGAGUAUCCAAUAAAUCUGAACAAUAAUAACUACUCAAAACUUCAUUAGGGUCUAGAAAUCACAGAAAUAGAAAUAAAAAUGACAAAGUAGUACAAAGGUCUAGCUGGAAGGCAAAACUCAAAGAUUAAAGAGUGUCUGUGUCUGUCAGGCAGUUUUACUGGUUCUCAUUAGCUACUUUCUGGCACGUUUUUCUUCCUAUACUUCUGCCACUUUGAUAGCCAGGCAAAAUUACACCUCCAAUGUAAUCAGAUAAGGAAUGCGAAAGGAACCGUUACAAUUAAUCUGACUGAAAAGUAGACAUGGACGAUAAAUGUGCAGUACACCCUCAGGACCACAAACACUUUACAUUUAUCUGUAUUUAUCCACAUGUCAAUUAAGGAACCAACUUGCUGUAAGUCUUUUAAUAAGAAGUAUUCAUUUCCAACUAAAGUUGCCAAAUUCCUAUAAUUCAAAUCUGUAUUUGCUGGUGACUUUUAAAUGAUAAGAAAACAUGUUUUUAAAAGCAAUGUUCCCUUCUUGAAUAUUUCCACUUUAUUGCUUUUGAAUCGCUCAAGUUGAAAUGAGACAAUUAAAUGCUGUGUCUUUUUUUGUUCAGAGGCGAGAUGAAGGUAAUUUGCUGCUUCAUGCAUCUGUUUCCUCAUCAGCACAGUGAGGACUAGGCUAAUUAGGGGAUGAAAACAAUAUGGUCAUAUGGAUAGGCCAGAUUGCUUGUCACUCAGUUAUUCAAUAUGUGGGCUCUGUUUUGAGGACAGGAAACAGAUAAUGAUUCUCUGGCAUCUCUCUUGCAAUGUGUGAAAAGAAAGAACAGGGAAGUGUUCAGAUGUUUACCUGCUUAUUUUUAGCCUUCAUCCUAGAAAUAAUCUUAUUGGGCUGUGUCAUUCAUUUUGUCUUUACAAGAAUAAUCUUUAUUAGAAAGCUUUGACCAUGGCCAGUAACAUCCAAAGAGAAUGCAAGAACCCAAUCAACUAACUUGAGUUCUGUUCAACUCAUUCAAGUUCAUUAUUCUGUAAUAUUCUAUGGGCCAGAAAAAUUUUGUCCAAACACAAGUAAAUGUGCCCCAAUUUCAGAAAGUCUAAUUUACCUAAAUAGAUUUAGCAAGAAAAAAAUUAACAUUUGAAAGUAUGAGAUUAAUUACAGAGCUUGUACCAGGCAUGUUUUCUGGUACCAGUCUGUCCUCAGUCAUUUAUAACGGGGAGAAUUCAGACUCAAGGACAGCCUUUCCCAGGCCUGGCUUGGAAAGGUGAAUUAGUACAACUAGAUUCUCUUUCAGCUAUUUGAACUACGAAAUCCCAAAGAAAGUUGAAAAUAUGCAUUGAGAGUUUCAUAGGUAAGCACAAGCAAAAGUUAUGAAUAAAUAUAAAAUAUAAGUGAGCGAGAGUAUUCAGUGAUAGAAGUCUAGAACAGAUGCACAGAAAUAAGCAGAAACAUUCUGAGACAGAGAGAGAGAUGAGGAAAGGGAAAGAACAAUUCCUAUUUCUGAAAGCUUUAGGUUCCCAUUGUCCUGAAAGUUCCAGGUCCCUGAUGCCAGGAAGCCUAUAAAUAUCAGUUCCAAUGGGCCUGACCAUUCUCUAACUGCACCCUAAAUUUCACUUACAGCAUUGCUAUGCUUUUGUUGUAUCAUUAUUGCCCCACUGGGCACUAUGCCAAGCCCUUCAUUCCACAAAGUGUCAUAUAUUUAGGGAUGUUUGUAUGGCUGACUCUAUUAAAAUCUGGAACCAGAAUGAUUGUUACAUUACAGCCAAUAACUUCAAUGCCAGGCAUCCCUAUUCUUAAAAUUUCUCAGUCAUUCUUAUCAUAAAGGAACUUCUAUUCAUUAUCUUCUCUACUUAAGCCCCAUCUUCCUGCCAUGUUGACAGACUCCCUUUAUCUCCCCUGAUUGCCUCUUUAAAGCCCCCAAUUCCUUAUAGAUCUCUUAGAGCUACCUCUUUCUCUCUCUUUCUCUUUCUCUUUCUCAUAGCCACCCAGGCUAUGACCAGGGCAUCCUAUACUUGUAAACCAUGAAGGAUACCAAUUAAACCAUGCUCUGAAACAUAGUACCUUGUACCCCCAAGAGGACUUCUUAAUUUGCAAUUUAAGAAAAGCAACUUUUUAUAAACACAAGAGCACCCAAUAUUGAGUACUUACUGUGCGCCGAGCACUACGCUUGAAAGUCAUUAACUCAUUAAAUUCCUCUCUCUCUCUUAGUAUGAAGGUUCUAUUAACAUCCCUACUUUAAUGAUUAAAAUUUGUGUGCAGCUCACAAUAUUAGGAAGUAACAGCAUCUGAACUAGAACCAAAAUAUCCACUCACAAUCACCGUAAUUCUGCCUGUCUGGUUGCCCUACAUGUAACAUUACAACAAAGCUGUGUGCUGAUGAUAGAAAAUGCAUUUAAAAUUUAUCUGAGAUAUAUGUUUGGUGGAAACCAUUAGCUCUAAAACUGGCAAGAGACUAGAAUUGAAAGAGGUAGCACACAGAGAGGUUCUGAUGAAAGUGAAUGUCAUUUUAACAGAGGACUUCAUGAUGAUUGCUGCCUAAUGGUAGGUCAUGGCCUCACAAAGAAAAUCUCCAAUGUACAUUCCUGCAUUUAUGAUAAUUCUACUUUUUUCUGUUAUGUUGACAAACAAAAAAAAGUCCUAUACGUAUUUCUUCAUAUUUGAACUUCUCAAUUAAAGCACCAUUAAAUUCUCACUUUUAACUCUUGUGGGAAUUAAUUAUUACUUAGAUGAAGAACUUAUUUUCAACUCUGUCUCUAGGCAAGUGAACAACCUCAAAGGAAGAUGGUACUUAAAAUACCUGAUAACAAUUUAUAAAAAAUAUUUUAUCUAUUCAAUAAAAUAUGACAUUUCAUUGAACAUCUAUGUAAAACAAAGACUCCUGUUACUUGUGAAAUUGGACCUUAUUAAUAUAUGUAUACUAUCAAGUACACUUUACUGGAAAGAAACAGUAUGUAAAAAGCUUGGCACAUUGAAAAAACCAAAAAGAGGCCAGUGUGGCUGUAGCACAGGAAAGAGGAGCAAAAGAAAGAUAAGAAGGCACCAGAUUAUGGAUGCAAGGCUUUCUCGGCCACGAUGGAGAUUUUGGAUACUGUUUAAAGAAACAAAUAUAAAACUUCUAAGGAUAGCUUGAUAGUAUUUUCCUUGAGUCUUGAAAUAAGAACUAAAGAGCUACUCUAUUCUUAUCCCAGCCAUUCAAAGAUAGUGCCUCCUUAUAUAAUGUGUGCCAUGCAGCAUGUAAGUAUCAUGUCUGUGAAUUGAAUUGUAGUGUGCUGUUGCUUGUGCCAAUAGCAGGGAGACACCGCAGCAAGGCAAACAAGCAAGCCAUAUGUGCUGUUGGCAACAUUGACACACUGUACAGUUAUGGCAUAUGCCUUGAGUAUCUCAAAAUUAUGUUGUUGGUAGUUUCAUUGCUAUAUUUGAUUAUGUAUUUAAGUUUAUUUGAAGGCUUUUAAAAGGAAAUGAUUUCACACUACUAAUCUUAUGAUUAUGCACUUAGCAGCUAAUAACAAUGUGCUAUUUGCUGGAAGGAAUAUAUGUUUGUAGACAAGUUUCCUGAAUUAGCUUUUUAAUUUACAUAAACAUAAUUGCCCUCUCAAUUUUAAAGCCUUUAAAAUUUUGUCAUUUUGAACAAAAUUUAGUAUGCUGAUGUAAAGUCACUUUAAACAUCUAUUCUAAAACCUUGACUAAUGUUGGAUUAAGUGUACAUGUGUGCAUACAACACAUAUAUACAUAUAAAUACACAUGUGAGUUAUAGGUAUUGUAUUAUAUAUCUCUUUAUAUCACAUUUAUG